rnacentral:rRNA from 1 species
UACGGGGGGAGCAAGCGUUGUUCGGAUUUACUGGGCGUAAAGGGCGCGUAGGCGGUCGUGACAAGUCACUUGUGAAAUCUCCGGGCUUAACUCGGAACGGUCAAGUGAUACUGUCGGACUAGAGUACAGAAGGGGCAACUGGAAUUCUCGGUGUAGCGGUGAAAUGCGUAGAUAUCGAGAGGAACACCUGCGGCGAAGGCGGGUUGCUGGGCUGAUACUGACGCUGAGGCGCGAAAGCGUGGGGAGCGGACAGG